rnacentral:rRNA from 1 species
UGGGGAAUCUUGCACAAUGGGCGAAAGCCUGAUGCAGCGACGCCGCGUGAGGGAAGAAGGCUUUCGGGUUGUAAACCUCUUUCAGGAGGGACGAAGCUACUCGGGUUAAUAGCCCAGAGGGUGACGGUACCUUCAGAAGAAGCCCCGGCUAACUACGUGCCAGCAGCCGCGGUAAUACGUAGGGGGCAAGCGUUGUCCGGAUUUAUUGGGCGUAAAGAGCGUGUAGGCGGCUAGGUAGGUCCGUUGUGAAAACUCGAGGCUCAACCUCGAGACGCCGAUGGAAACCAUCUGGCUAGAGUCCGGAAGAGGAGAGUGGAAUUCCUGGUGUAGCGGUGAAAUGCGCAGAUAUCAGGAAGAACACCCGUGGCUAAGGCGGCUCUCUAGUACGGUACUGACGCUGAGACGCGAAAGCGUGGGGAGCGAACAGGAUUAGAUACCCCCGUAGUCC